UACGGAGGGUGCAAGCGUUAUCCGGAUUUAUUGGGNNUAAAGGGUNCGUAGGCGGGNUAUUAAGUCAGNGGUGAAAGCCUACAGCUUAACUGNAGAAUUGCCAUUGAUACUGGUACUCUUGANUAUNCCNGAAGUUGGCGGAAUGUGUCAUGUAGCGGUGAAAUGCUUAGAUAUGACNCAGAACACCGAUUGCGAAGGCAGCUGACUAAAGUAUUAUUGACGCUAAUGAACGAAAGCGUGGGGAGCGAACAGG
rnacentral:rRNA from 1 species